UAUUUAAGAGUUUGAUCCUGGCUCAGGAUGAACGCUGGCGGCGUGCCUAACACAUGCAAGUCGAGCGAUUCUCUUCGGAGAAGAGCGGCGGACGGGUGAGUAACGCGUGGGUAACCUGCCCUGUACACACGGAUAACAUACCGAAAGGUAUGCUAAUACGGGAUAAAAUGAGAGAGUCGCAUGGCUUUCUUAUCAAAGCUCCGGCGGUACAGGAUGGACCCGCGUCUGAUUAGCUAGUUGGUAAGGUAAUGGCUUACCAAGGCGACGAUCAGUAGCCGACCUGAGAGGGUGAUCGGCCACAUUGG
rnacentral:rRNA from 1 species